rnacentral:tRNA from 2 species
CAGGGGUUAGUUUAUUUAAAAUAUAGGUUUUGGGGACCUAGGAUAGGAGUAUUUCCUACCCCUGA